rnacentral:rRNA from 1 species
UACGUAGGGUGCAAGCGUUAAUCGGAAUUACUGGGCGUAAAGCGUGCGUAGGCGGUUGUGUAAGACAGAUGUGAAAGCCCUGGGCUCAACCUGGGAAUUGCAUUGGAUACUGGCGGACUGGAGUGCGGUAGAGGAUGGCGGAAUUCCCGGUGUAGCAGUGAAAUGCGUAGAGAUCGGGAGGAACAUCUGUGGCGAAGGCGGCCAUCUGGACCAGCACUGACACUGAGGCACGAAAGCGUGGGGAGCAAACAGG